UACAGUUAAAACCUACAACGUAACAAGUGGCCGUUGAAAACAGAAAUGACCAAUGGCCGAAACCGUCACCGAAUCUUCUUAUCAAUGUUGUUAUUGGACACGAUUGCAGUCCUUCUGAAAUUGGCCUUUGCUCUAUGGUGGUUGACGGCAAUAGUACAGGAAAAACAACGAUAUGAUCGAAGACCAGUACAUUCUGAUUCGGACUACUUGUCUAAUUUUGUGAGAUUCUUUGCUUAUUGUGGAUGUGGCGGUUUACUUUUCUGGAUUAUACUUAAAUUGGCAGCUAAUUGUCAACAAUAUCGGCAAGAAAAUCUUAAAAAUAUUUCCAAAUGUUGCUGUUUCGGGACCUGCUGUUGGUUUUUCUAUGGAAUAGUACUGCUCGCAUACACCGUUACAUUUAUUUUUGUAAAUUGGUGCAGACUUACCGACGAUUGGGACUGUAUCUCCGAAUCGUGUUCAAAAUGCCAAUGGCCACGACACGCUGCGAUGGGGUUUUUGUUUUGGGAAACUUUCAUGUUUGGGGUAAUGGUUCUUCAUAGAAUAAAUAAACGCGAUCGACCAAAUCGUAGUGAAAGUGAACCUUAAAAAAUGGUUGACCUUAAGCGGGAUGAAAUCAGAUUUAUUUGUUUUAAUAAAAUAUUGAAAAUAUUCGUCCGGCUUUUCCAA